UUUUGAGUCGUGCAUUCCAUUUUCGAGCCUUCUUUCUGGCGAGCCAUCUAUUUGUGUCAAGCUUUUCAGAGUACUUUCGCUUCUUCCCCUGCGUUCCUGACUUUUUGUAACGCAGGGUCUAGGGCUAAGAAUUUCUUUGAAUUUCAAUAAUGCCAAAAAUAAUGCGACAUUAUCAUUGUGCCUCCGCAAUCUGUAUCUUGCACUUCAUUUCCAUCACCAAACAAUGAACAGUUAACUUGUAGAUCUUUGACAUGAAUGUGAUUAUGUCGAUGCCAAGAUUUAAAUGCAGUGUUCUCACCUUAGAACCUGCAGAGGUUGGGUUGUUGAGACCUCUCGUUUCUUCACUCAUGGCAUUAGGUUUUCGCUUUCAACGUCCCUACCCCUAUUCUUUUUCAACAGUAGCAACAAUGUCUGAUUUGCAUAAUGUCAAUAUAACUGGAGGAUCGAGCACAUCCAAUUCAUUGAUCGAGAAGUUUGCUGUGUACUGCUACCAGAGGGAUCUCCCAAGAGCCAUGAAUGCCCUUUAUGCCAUGGAAAAACACAAGAUAUCGGCUGAUGCUAUUACCUACUCUGAGCUUAUAAAGUGCUGUGUUACUCGGCGUGCUGUUGAACAUGGCAAACGUGUCCACCAACACAUUUUUUCCAAUGGGUACCAGCCAAAGACCUUCUUACUCAACAUACUUCUUAACAUGUAUGUGAAGUUCAACAUGUUGGACGAAGCACACACUUUGUUCAACCAAAUGCCUGAGAGAAAUGUUGUCUCCUGGACUACCAUUGUAGGUGCUUACUCUAGUUCUAAGCUCAAUUACAAGGCUUUCAAGCUAUUAACUCUCAUGCUAAGGGAUGGAGUCCAACCCAAUAUGUAUACUUACUCCUCUGUUCUCAGAUCAUGUGAUGCCCUUUCCAAUCUCACACCUCUUCAUUGUAGCAUCAUUAAGGUGGGAUUGGAGUCUGAUGUCUUUGUCCGCAGCGCACUGAUUGAUGUCUACUCCAAAAUUGGUCAACUGAAGAGUGCUCUUGAUGUCUUCAAUGAGAUGAAAACACAUGAUCGGGUGGUUUGGAACUCUAUAAUUGGUGGCUUUGCUCAAAACAGUGAUGGCUAUGAAGCAUUGACUCUCUACAUAAAAAUGAAGCGAGCUGGUUUUCCGGCUGACCAGUCAACCCUAACUAGUGGUCUAAGAGCAUGUACCAGUUUGUCACUUUUAGAAGUGGGCAGGCAACUCCAUGUUCAGAUUCUCAAAUUUGAUCAAGACCUAAUACUUCACAAUGCACUUCUUGACAUGUACUGCAAGUGUGGCAGUGUGGAUGAUGCUAACCGUACAUUUACUCGAAUGGUGGAGAAGGAUGUCAUCUCAUGGAGCACCAUGAUUAUGGGCUUGGCUCAGAAUGGUUUCAGCAAAAAAGCGCUAGAGCUGUUUGAGGAAAUGAAGAGCUCGGGGAUGAAGCCUAACUACAUCACUGUCCUUGGAGUUCUAUUUGCUUGCAGUCAUGCAGGACUGGUAGAAGAUGGGCAGUAUUACUUCCGAUCAAUGAAGACACUUUUUGGAAUUGAUCCAAGAAGAGAGCAUUAUGGUUGCAUGGUUGAUCUUCUUGGGAGAGCAGGCAAGCUAGAUGAAGCAGUGAAAUUAAUUCAUGAAAUGGAAUGUGAACCGGAUGCUGUGACAUGGAGGACAUUGCUCGGUGCUUGCAGAUUACAUCGGAACAUGGAUCUGGCUGAGUAUGCUGUGAAACAAAUUCUUAAGCUAGACCCAAGUGAUGCUGGAACCUACAUACUGCUCUCCAAUAUUUAUGCACGAACUCAGAAAUGGGAAGAGGCUUCCAAUGUGAGAAGGGCCAUGAGCAACAAAGGAGUCAAGAAAGAACCAGGUUGUAGCUGGAUUGAAGUAAAUAAGCAGAUUCAUACCUUCAUUUUGGGAGACAAGUCCCACCCACAGAUAAACGAGAUUGGCAAAGAGCUCAAACAGAUUAUUACAAGAUUGAAAGAAGUAGGCUAUGUUCCUGAUACCAACUUUGUCUUGCAAGACCUUGAAGGUGAACAGAUGGAAGACUCACUUCUGUACCACAGUGAAAAGCUUGCAAUUGCUUUUGGCAUAAUGAGCUUGCCAAGAGAAAAGACCAUUAGAAUCAGAAAGAAUCUCAGAAUAUGUGGAGACUGUCAUUUAUUUGCAAAACUCUUGACGAAGGUAGAGCAUCGAACCAUUGUCAUCAGAGAUCCAAUCCGCUACCAUCAUUUCCAAGAAGGUAUUUGUUCUUGCAGUGACUACUGGUAGCAGGGAGGUUACUGGCAAACCUUUGCAAAAAUUGAAAUUAAAAAAAUGGUAAUACACUGGUAUUUAUGCAAGCCUGUGUCAUAUAUUGUGGGCAAGAGGCAUAUGUCAGACUGCACCUUGACAUGGCAAGAACAUCACAACUUUCUUUCUACUGCUCUGAAUUAAACCUGUCAUGGGUUUAUAAAUUAUGUGUAAGUAUGGAUUGGAGGAUGCAAACUCCUAUACUCUAAGAUUAGGCCUUAUAGAUGGAGCUUCAGUAGCAGCUUGGUCAGAAGGAAGUUACUAGCAUUAUGUUCAUGCAUAAGUCUUAUUACCAAGGUUCUGAUGGGUAAUUUUAUCAGCCAAAUUAUAAAUUGUGUGGCCUUGACAGUCAACUACAGAUUGGUUGAUAUUGAAACCAUUUAGGAUAGAGGAACCUGCGAUCUCCUUACAGUUUUGCUAUGGAACAUCAUCACCUGUGUCUUCAUUAAAGAUAUAAUCAGUGACAACAGUCUUACCAGCUUGCUCAGGACAUUACAUUGAUGUAUUUGUGUUCUUUCAUGUCCACUUGCUUUCUCUGAAUGCCUUGAGGAAGCAUAAAGAUUUGAUUUGAUUAUACUUUCCAGAACUGAAGAAUGUCUUAGCAGAGUUGUUGCUGGAAGAAAGAAGAAACAGUUGGAAGCUGAGUAAGAAGUUGAAGACUUGAAAUGACCAUAAUAUUGCAUGCUGAGGGGACCUAUGAGAAUCGGAUAGCAAAAUUGAAGGCUCUGAUUUGAAGUCUUUAUGGAAACAGAAAAUAUUAAUGUACUAUUGUCAUUUGAUGGAAAAUAGAGGAAAUGAAUGCUUUUCUGAGUCUAAUAUAGCUGGAGGAUAUGGGAGGCUGAAUACAUCUAAAAUGGAAGUGUGGACGCCCCAUAUUAUCUGAGAAAAGCUGCAGACCUCAUGGCUUUUUUUUUUUUUUUUUUGAAAUACAGAAAGGUUUUUGCAGAUGGACUUCAGGCUUAUAUUCUUGCACAAAUAAGCCUAUUAACAUUGUUUCACUCAAUUUUGCAACUCAUGCUGCAUUUUGCUUGUGUCUCAUGUGACAUUAUUGCAGGAAGUAUGAAAGAUCUGCAAAUAGCAGCCUACAUUUUUGUAUAUGAACACUGACCAAAA